rnacentral:rRNA from 1 species
GGGAGUACCAUUUGGAAACAGAUGCUAAUACCGGAUAAAAAGACUACUUUCGCAUGAAAAGAAGUUUAAAAAAAGGACGGCGUAAAGCUGUCGCUAAAGGAUGGACCUGCGAUGCAUUAGCUAGUUGGUAAGGUAACGGCGUUACCAAGGCGAUGAUGCAUAGCCGAGUUGAGAGACUGAUCGGCCACAUUGGGACUGAGACACGGCCCAAACUCCUACGGGAGGCAGCAGUAGGGAAUCUUCCACAAUGGACGCAAGUCUGAUGGAGCAACGCCGCGUGAGUGAAGAAGGUUUUCGGAUCGUAAAGCUCUGUUGUUGGUGAAGAAGGAUAGAGGUAGUAACUGGCCUUUAUUUGACGGUAAUCAACCAGAAAGUCACGGGCUAACUACGUGCCAGCAGCCGCGGUAAAU